CCUCGCUCAAAGGCCCGCGGGGAGAUUGGGGCAAAGGAAGCCGUGAGCGGCCCCGGCCUCUGGUCGGUCGCCACGUGACCCUUUAGACCGGAUUUCCCAUCCCGCUCUGGGCCGAGGCCUUGGGAGGCUACUGCUCUUAAGGUCUUGUGGGGAGGCCUGACAUGGAAACCAGAGCAAAACACCCAAACAGCUGUGACAGGAGAAGUCCACGCCCUGCGCUACUUUAACACUCAUGUCAGGGGGGGAAAACCGAAACAUAAGGGAACAGUCAAACCCGUGAAGAAUUCUUGUGAGUUUAUCUGAGCCAAACUGUCAACAGUUGCCGGGAAGCAGAACCUCCCCGCGCUGGGACAAUGCUCCGGAGAAGAGUUGGUUACCUGGAUGCAGAGAGACAAUAGGCUCAGCGAGGAUCGGAGUUGACCUUGACGUGACUGCCCACCAUGAACUGCUUUCUAAUGGAAGGUUUUAGUUCCAGGCCAUCCUUUGUGGUGACUUCUGAGUUUGCAGGGCCUUCACGCAGGCCUUCUCUGCGUUUCUGAGAAAUGUCACCGGGGUCCUUUCUAAGCAUAAAAAUGGCAGGUGCGACAUGUAUUUGAGCUGUUUUCUCCAGGACAUAUCACAGAAAAUCGUAAGAGGACACAGAAGAGGACUUUCUCCCAUUGAAAUGGCUACCACAAAAGGGAGAGAGAAACGGCAGAGAGAUGUGGAUUUGUCGUUCCUACUGCGCUACCCGGCCUGGGCCCAGGCAGGUUCCUCAGUUCCUCUUGGGAAAAAAAGAACACAAAUAAGGCGAAAAUGGUACAGGAACUCUCCCGUGGGUGGGCUUGAAAUCAGAAACAAGGCCAGAGUCCCAGAGGUCUGUCACAAGUAAAACCAAGUUGGACCACGCGCGCUGUCAGAUGGGAUUAACAUCACCUCCACCGCCGCGGCGGGCGGGCGAUGACUCAGAGGCCCAGGUGCGGCAUCUGGGCUGCUGGAUGCCUCUGGCGGGGAGGCUGAGCACGGAGCCCCGCCCCCACCCCCAGUCAGACUCCCGUGGCAGCCCCUCUGUGCAGGGGCGAGCUGACUGACGUCGAGGUCUUGGCCAGCUGCCGAUGACCAGUCGUACCUGCUCCUCAGUGGAUGCAGGAGGCUAACAGUCAGCAAUUAACACGGUAACAGUAACAGCGAGGGAAUUUGUGGUCUCUGCCCUGGUGCACUGGUUCUGCCCUGAGGGGUCCGGAGAAGGGGAAGUGACCCCGACAUUCCAAAGGUAUGUUAACUUAGAUGCAAAAAGGCAGGAGGCUCAGUUGAGGCCCAAGUUGAUCUUUGUCUGGGAAGAUACUGGCCUAGGACGUGACUACCCACCACACACUGCUUUCUAAUCCUUGGUGGUGACUUUAGGUCUCUGAGUUUGCAAGGCUGCUCCGCAGGCCUUCCCUGAGCUUGUCAGGUUACCAUGUGGCCCAGUUUCUUCCACAAAUCAAACUAUUUUU